rnacentral:rRNA from 1 species
UACAGAGGUCCCAAGCGUUGUUCGGAUUCACUGGGCGUAAAGGGUGCGUAGGUGGUGGGGUAAGUCCGAUGUGAAAGCUCCGAGCUCAACUCGGAAAUUGCAUUAGAAACUACCUCGCUAGAGGGUUGGAGGGGGGACUGGAAUUCUCGGUGUAGCAGUGAAAUGCGUAGAUAUCGAGAGGAACACCAGUGGCGAAGGCGAGUCCCUGGACAACUCCUGACCACUGAGGCACGAAAGCUAGGGGAGCAAACAGG